rnacentral:rRNA from 1 species
CCUACGGGAGGCAGCAGUGGGGAAUAUUGGACAAUGGGCGCAAGCCUGAUCCAGCCACGCCGCGUGAGUGACGAAGGCCUUAGGGUUGUAAAGCUCUUUUGGCGGGGAAGAUAAUGACGGUACCCGCAGAAUAAGCUCCGGCUAACUUCGUGCCAGCAGCCGCGGUAAU